rnacentral:rRNA from 1 species
GGUUGAUCCUGCCAGUAGUCAUAUGCUUGUCUCAAAGAUUAAGCCAUGCAAGUCUAAGUAUAAGUUUUUAUAUAACGAAACUGCGAAUGGCUCAUUAAAACAGUUAUAGUCUCUGUGAAAUUAAUUACUACACGGAUACCUGUGGUAAUUCUGGAGCUAAUACGUGCAUCAACAUCCUGUACCUUGUGUCGGGAUGGCACUUAUUAGAUAAAGAACCAACCCAUGCUUGCAUGGAGAACUGGUGAUCCAUAAUAAUCUAGUGAAUCGCAUUGCUACGGCAAGCGAUAGUUCA